CUUGCUAAAACGCAUUUUUGAAACUGUAUAGACGACAAUCGUAUUGAUACUUCAUACAUUAGGUUUAUACAUCGCCUAAGGAAGGCCUAGAAGAACAGAUUAGGAUAACAUUUUAAUAAUCACUGGGAAUAUCUUCACAAAAGCAGACAAUUACUGGUGUAGAAGAGUCACAAAAACUAAAGCGGUCAAAUUCCAGAGAUGAACGCUGUUAUAACGAAAAGACAGAAAAACACCAUUUUGGUUCUGGGAGCAAUUACAGCUGUGUUUGGUGCCUUGUCUGGGGCCAGUGGUCUCCUCUUAAGAGAAAAAUACUUGGUGUUUAACAGACCAGACUGGGAUGUUGAUACAAUAUCUGGGUUCACUAAAGGAUAUUUUGGGGUGAUGUCAGGAUUUAUACUGUUUUUACUUGGUACUGUUGGUUAUGGUCUCGUCUUUACCAGGAUGUCUUAUCUGGUAUUUCUUUAUUGGCUGUUGUCCUUGUGUUGUGACACGUUGUGUAUCAUCGAUACUUUGCUGGUUUUUCCCUUCACAAGAGAAAAUGGAAAGUUUGCUUGGGAACGCAAUUCCAGUGAUAAUUGCACGCUACAACUUCUAUAUUCUGGAAACUCAACAACGAUAUCAUCUAAUACAAAUUUUAGAACAGAAGACCUCGAAUAUUGCGAGGAUAUAAAAGUUAUUGCUGUUUUAUUAAUCAUCAUCACCACCGCGAUACUGACUUCAUUAUUAUUUUCGUGCAUAACAACAAUUGUUACCAGUGUUGCUCUUUACAGAGCGAAAGGCUUCGCGGAUGCUGAAGAUUCCCGGAUCCAGAUGGCUCCUUUUUCAGUACCAGAUGACUUUCAACCAAUGAGCUUUAAUAACACAGUAUACCAAGGCGAUGGUUACCGAAAAUAGCAAAUUACAGAAGAAAAAACUAAAAACGUACAAGAACAAUAACUGAAGGGAAAUUAAACCUCACAUAUUUACAUAGAAUAAGAGAUGAAUGGUUUAUCGUAGAUUCGAGAAACAUGGUAUAUAUGAUCUUGGUAACUGUAAGGUCCAAUAUACUGGAAUAUGGUAUAUACGACUUUAGUAAGGUACAAUAUACUGGAAUAUGGUAUAUACGACUUUAGUAAGGUACAAUAUACUGGAAUAUGGUAUAUACGACCUUGGUAAGGUCCAAUAUACUUGAAUAUGGUAUAUACGACAUUGGUAUGGUUGAAAAUACUGUGAUAUGUUAUACUAUGUUUUAUUUGACCCUACCAAGGAAGGAUAUGGGGUAUAGUGUUCUCGACAUUAGUAAGAUCUAAUAUAUCGAAAUAUGGACCUUCUCGCAGUAUCGUUCAAAACAGCGCAUAACGCUGUAAUACCAGUAACACUGUAAUAUUGUAUGAUUGCUGACAUUUUUGUCGCCGUCGUCGGAUUAUACGCCAAUCAUGGAAAAUACGUUUAAAACAUUCCGAAAAUGUAUCAAAUUACUGUGAUUAAAAUUCUCACGGUUGAAGUUGCUUAAUUUUGCUGAUAUUAUCAAACAAUUUAUUUCGUCGAAAGGCGAAAAAACUUGUAAAAAUGCAGUCUACACUAGGGACUUAUACUAGUAAUAGAAGUUUAGGGCCACUUGGUAAAGUUAAAGUAUCUAAACCCAUCUCAAGAGGGGCAGCAAUAAUUGGUUUAUUAGAAUUCUUGCUUGGAAUAGCCCUCUUAAUUGGAGGCAUUUUACUACAUAUCAAAGAUGUGAAUGAAGAUUUAGAUGUGUCUGGUGAUCCUAAAUAUUAUGGCCUUUGGUCAGCACCAGGUCCUUUAAUUAUUGGUGUCCUAGGAAUUGUUGGAUGGUGGAAACGACAACGACAAAUGAUUGUGACAUUUUCAGUGAUGAGUGCACUAAAUGCACUCUUGUGUAUUGCACAAGCAUGUGUUUGUUUUACCACGAGCAUUUUGGUUCAAAGAUUUUGUUACAUUGUCAAAAUGUCGUGAUGAUAAACCAGAUGGCCAUGGCUUGGAAUAUGACCCGAAAGGGGAAGCUUCAGACAAACGAGAUUGUGAUGAAAUGAACAUUAUUGCCAGAUUAUUUAUCAUGCUUGCUAUCUCGUGUUGCUUUGCUAUUGUAAUAUCACUAGCUGGAAUAAUUGACGGAAUCUUAGCUGUAAAACAAAUUAAGAGAGAUCAGAUGGACCAACUUGAAGGUCUGACAAAUGCAGAAUUUAGACAAAUGGAACAAAAAACAGCAAUGUGGUUAGAAAAUAAUGUGAGAUUUUCGACUGGAUCUACAAUAGCUCGCUCGGAGAAGGCUCUUAGUGUUGUCAGUGAAAGUGGUUUCUCGUCAACAGGACCUCAAUCCCCAAGCACACCCACCACACCUGGUUAUAGGGACAAAAGUUGGGUAUAAAAACAAUAGUAAACUUUCAAAUAUAACCCAUAAAAUAUGUUCCGAUAUAACAGCACAUGAUGAGGUAUUCUAACAUGACCAGAUAUCCUAACAUGACCAGAUAUCCUAACAAUAAUUAAAAGCCUAAAAGAUUAGAGGAUAUUUAAAGGUUGUAAGAUCAGACAAACACUUCAU